CGCAUGAUGUUAUUCUCAGUCAGUAUCUUCUGACCUCGGAUGCUGUGCCGCUUUGGCUGA
rnacentral:snoRNA from 1 species